rnacentral:rRNA from 1 species
UAGGGAAUUCUUGCGCAAUGGGCGAAAGCCUGACGCAGCGACGCCGCGUGAGGGAAGAAGGCCUUCGGGUCGUAAACCUCUGUCCUUGGGGACGAUGAUGACGGUACCCAAGGAGGAAGCCCCGGCUAACUACGUG